CACUAAAUAACUAGCCCCGCCAACUAAAAACAACAAACCAACAUUUAUAAACCCCAAAACACUAACGACAACUUAAAACAAACCAUUUUACCCCUAAGUAUGGGCGACAGAAAAGGAAACACCGGAGCUAUAGAAAAAGUACCGCAAGGGAACGAUGAAAGAGAAAUGAAACAACUCAACAAAGUAAAAAAAAGCAGAGACUCAAACUCGUACCUUUUGCAUCAUGAUUUAGCAAGUACCCCUAAGCAAAGUGAACUUUAGUUUAAAACCCCGAAACUAAGUGAGCUACUCCAAGGCAGCCCAUUAUGGGGCCAACCCGUCUCUGUGGCAAAAGAGUGGGAAGAACUUUGAGUAGAGGUGACAGACCUAUCGAACUUAGUUAUAGCUGGUUGCCUGAAAAAUGAAUAGAAGUUCAGCCUCCAGGCUUCUUCACUCCACCUAACACAACUUCACGACAAUAAGAAACCGGGAGAGUUAGUCAAAGGGGGGACAGCCCCUUUGAACAAAACACAACUUUAUCAGAAGGUUAAAGAUUAUAACAAUACAAGGAAAAAUGCCUAAGUGGGCCUAAAAGCAGCCAUCACAAUAGAAAGCGUUAAAGCUCAGACAUAUUCCCUCCCUAUUAUCCCAAUAACCAAAUCUCAAACCCCUAACGCUAUCAGGCUAUUCCAUGCAACCAUGGAAGAAAUUAUGCUAAUAUGAGUAAUAAGAGAGCAUUCACCUCUCUCCAAGCAUCUGUGUACAUCGGAACGGACAACCCACCGAACAUUAACGGCCCCAACCCCAGAGGGUAAUGAACACAAAACUACUACACCAGAAAAUCACCCACAAACUAACCGUUAACCUUACACUAGAGUGCCAUCAAGGAAAGACUAAAAGAAAAAGAAGGAACUCGGCAAAUACACCCCAUUAAGCCUCGCCUGUUUACCAAAAACAUCGCCUCUUGCAAACAACGUAUAAGAGGUCCCGCCUGCCCCGUGACAAUUAGGUUUAACGGCCGCGGUAUUCUAACCGUGCAAAGGUAGCGCAAUCAUUUGUCUUUUAAAUGAAGACCUGUAUGAAUGGCAUGACGAGGGCUUAACUGUCUCCUUUUUCAAGUCAAUGAAAUUGAUCUCCCCGUGCAGAAGCGGGGAUAAUAACAUAAGACGAGAAGACCCUGUGGAGCUUUAGACACAAAGCAGAUCCGGCCUACACCCACACUAACACAAGCUUAAAGAACCCUGCUCAAAUGUCUUCGGUUGGGGCGACCAUGGGGAAACAAAUAACCCCCACGUAGAAUAAGAGCACAUUCCUCUUAAAAACGAGAGCCACCACUCCAAAUAACAGAAUUUCUGACUUUAAGAUCCGGUAACACCGAUUAACGGACCAAGUUACCCCAGGGAUAACAGCGCAAUCCCCUUCAAGAGCCCAUAUCGCCAAGGGGGUUUACGACCUCGAUGUUGGAUCAGGACAUCCUAAUGGUGCAGCCGCUAUUAAGGGUUCGUUUGUUCAACGAUUAAAGUCCUACGUGAUCUGAGUUCAGACCGGAGCAAUCCAGGUCAGUUUCUAUCUAUGACAUGAUUUCUUCCAGUACGAAAGGACCGAAGAGAAGAGGCCUAUGCUUAAAGCAUGCCUCACCCCCACCUAAUGAAAACAACUAAACUAGGCAUAAGGGCAUUACCCCUUAUUCCUAAGACUAAGGCCU
rnacentral:rRNA from 1 species